GUGAGAUGGAAUCAGCGUUUGGACAAGCGAUUUUACGCUGAUUCCAUUUCAUGA
rfam:Solanum tuberosum cultivar DM 1-3 516 R44 scf00376_31, whole genome shotgun sequence.